GACAGAGGUGCCAAGCGUUAGGCGGAAUCACUGGGCUUAAAGCGUGUGUAGGCGGAUUUGUAAGUACCUUGUGAAAUCCCACGGCUCAACCGUGGAACUGCUCGGUAUACUGCUUAUCUUGAGCCACUUAGGGGCUACCGGAACAAAUGGUGGAGCGGUGAAAUGCGUAGAUAUCAUUUGGAACGCCAAUGGUGAAAACAGGUAGCUGGGAGUGUGCUGACGCUGAGACACGAAAGCCAGGGGAGCGAACGGGG
rnacentral:rRNA from 1 species